AAGUCGUAACAAGGUUUCCGUAGGUGAACCUGCGGAAGGAUCAUUACCUUUCGAUGCAGAAGAGUUGAGAUGGUUGAGUAUCUCGCCUCUCAAUUCUCGCUGUAUUUUACCCUUGUUUUUCUCAUACUAUUAUUUCCUCGGCAGGCUCGCCUGCCGGGUGAAACAACUUCAAACCUGUUUAAUUUUCAAUCAGCGUCUGAACAAAUUAAUAAUUACAA
rnacentral:misc_RNA from 1 species